UCGAGAAUCUUCGGCAAUGGGCGCAAGCCUGACCGAGCGACGCCGCGUGUGGGAUGAAGGCCCUUGGGUUGUAAACCACUGUCAGAGGGGAUGAAGUGCAUGAGGGCAAUCUCUCAUGCUUGACAUAGCCUCAGAGGAAGCACGGGCUAAGUUCGUGCCAGCAGCCGCGGUAAUACGAACUGUGCGAACGUUAUUCGGAAUCACUGGGCUUACAGGGUGCGUAGGCGGCUUGUCAAGUAGGGUGUGAAAGCCCCCGGCUCAACCGGGGAAUUGCGCCCUAAACUGGCGAGCUGGAGUGAGAUAGGGGUGUGUGGAACUUCCGGUGGAGCGGUGAAAUGUGUUGAUAUCGGAAGGAACGCCGGUGGCGAAAGCGACACACUGGAUCUUGUCUGACGCUGAGGCACGAAAGCCAGGGGAGCGAACGG
rnacentral:rRNA from 1 species